UAUGUAGGCUAUAGGAAUUCC
ensembl:piRNA 21ur-3096 ncRNA